AGACCCAAAAGCUAUAGGAGACAAGAAGCAGGCCAAAAGACACGCUGGCAACUUCUAUGUGCAUUCAGGGGUGAGCAUCCUGAAGCCCGGAGCUGCAAAUUCUACAAGAGAAGCCUCCUACCUGUAGGUUCCCUUAAAUCUUAUUCUGCUCCAGAAAGGCAUUCAAGAUGAGUUUUGGGAUUUUAACUCAUGAGAAACAUGUAAGGCACAUCCAAUGCUGGACACAAAAGUCAUCACUGCAAAGUAUGAGCUGGAGCACGACCAAACACAGGGAGUCGUGUUCCUUCCUGUCCCAGACGAAACAGAGACAAUUACUUCUAAAGGUCUGUGUGAGUGAUACUUAGUCUUCAUGGUUAGUUAUUAACAUUGGUUGCAAGCUGGGGGGCCCCUCAAAGCAUAAUUGAUGUCUAUUGUUUAAAUUGCAACUUUGAGUCCUGUGUUAGACAGCAAGCCAAAAAGGGU
rnacentral:lncRNA from 1 species